GACGAACGCUGGCGGCGUGCUUAACACAUGCAAGUCGAACGGUGAAAGCGGAGCUUGCUCCGCUGGAUCAGUGGCGAACGGGUGAGUAACACGUGGGCAACCUGCCCCUCACUUCGGGAUAACUCCGGGAAACCGGGGCUAAUACCGGAUAUGACCUCCUUGGGCAUCCUUGGAGGUGGAAAGUUUUUCGGUGAGGGAUGGGCCCGCGGCCUAUCAGCUUGUUGGUGAGGUAGUGGCUCACCAAGGCGACGACGGGUAGCCGGCCUGAGAGGGCGCCCGGCCACACUGGGACUGAGACACGGCCCAGACUCCUACGGGAGGCAGCAGUGGGGAAUAUUGCGCAAUGGGCGAAAGCCUGACGCAGCAACGCGGCGUGCGGGAUGACGGCCUUCGGGUUGUAAACCGCUUUCAGCAGGGAAGAAGCCGCAAGGUGACGGUACCUGCAGAAGAAGCACCGGCUAACUACGUGCCAGCCGCCGCGGUAA
rnacentral:rRNA from 1 species